AACAGGUGUCGUGUACAGCACUUCUUUUUUUUUUCCUGGUGUUUCAAAUAUUUAUUUUAGGUAGUAAAGGCUUUUAUUGUUCUGAACCCUGAUUACAAGUCACAUGAUCAAGAACAACUAAUAAAGGAGAUUCAGGAGCAUGUUAAAAAAACUACAGCAUCUUACAAAUAUCCCAGAAAGGUAGAAUUUAUUCAAGAGCUGCCAAAGACUAUCAGUGGGAAGACAAAAAGAAAUGAACUGAGGAAGAAAGAAUGGAAAACAAUUUAAAUGUGUUUCAUUAACUACCAUAUCUAUAAAACAAACAUAUUAUCUGUCAAUCUCUAGAAACCACAAGAUGAUGCAGAGGUGAUAAAAACUGUAGUAGUAUGCUCAGAAACUGUUGAUUUAAAAUAUCUUGUGGUUAUGAUAUCAGAGGCUAAAUUUAGAAAUAAAAUGUUUGGUAAAUUCCUCUGCAUUACUGUCAAUGUUCCCGUCAUUUCUUAAUAUAAAAAGAAUGUCAACAAUUAUUGAUCAAUUUUUAAAUGUAUAGUAUAGAAGCAGUUUCUGAACCAAAUCUCUGCUACAUAGGUUUUCAAACUUUAGUUGACUAAUUCUUCUGAUAUGCUGAUAUACAAAUCAGAAUCAAUGUUCAAGCUGUGAAAUAAAACUAAAGAACUUAUAAAAGUUUUUAGAAAAAUACAAAAUACCAGUUAGAAGAUUAUUAUAAUUCUCAAAGUACAUGUAUCUAACUGAAAAUAGACCAGGGAUUUUUAUUAGUCACAUUUUUGUGCACAUAAUUUAAAAAUAGUUUAAGACUUGCUUCAAGGUCUAACUUUAAAAGAAAGAUCAUAUACUAUUGUUGCUUAUUAUAUGUAAUCUAAUAAAUACUCUUAACAAAA